rnacentral:lncRNA from 1 species
CAUGAAAUUAAGAACAACAGAGAUCUAACAAAAGAGGCCUAACACACACUAAUUAUUUAUAUAUCCCGUAGAGAUAAAACACACUUUUAUUCGUAGUACAUCAUCACAUCAUCAAACUCUUCAAGGAAGACAUGCAAAUGCUAGAACCAACAACGAACACAUAUCAUCAAGCCUGUUGAUUCCAAUUUUUAUGGUUCCUAACAAUAAAAUCACGAAACUUAUCAUCCUGAGCACCCUCAUUAGCUG